GUGGUUGUAACUCUGUGGUAGAGUGUUUGCUUCAUGUGCGUGAGGCACUGGGUUCAAUCCUCAGCACCACA
rfam:Ictidomys tridecemlineatus contig032398, whole genome shotgun sequence.